AGGACGAACGCUGGCGGCGUGCUUAACACAUGCAAGUCGAGCGGAAAGGCCCUUCGGGGUACUCGAGCGGCGAACGGGUGAGUAACACGUGAGUAACCUGCCCUAGGCUUUGGGAUAACCCUCGGAAACGGGGGCUAAUACCGGAUAUCCACUUCCUGCCGCAUGGUGGGUGGUGGAAAGUUUUUCGGUCUGGGAUGGGCUCGCGGCCUAUCAGCUUGUUGGUGGGGUGAUGGCCUACCAAGGCGACGACGGGUAG
rnacentral:rRNA from 1 species